GUUAGGAAUAUUCGUCAAUGGGGGAAACCCUGAACGAGCAAUGCCGCGUGAGUGAUGACGGUCCUCUGGAUUGUAAAACUCUGUUGUUUAGGAAAAAUUGUAUAAACAGGAAAUGGUUUAUGCUUGAUGGUACUAUUCAAGAAAGCCACGGCUAACUACGUGCCAGCAGCCGCGGUAAUACGUAGGUGGCGAGCGUUAUCCGGAUUUAUUGGGCGUAAAGCGUCCGCAGACGGCUUGUUAAGUCUAGAAUCAAAGCCCGGAGCUUAACUUCGGUUCGUUCUAGAAACUGGCAGGCUUGAGUAUAGUAGAGGCAAGUGGAAUUUCUAGUGUAGCGGUAGAAUGCGUAGAUAUUAGAAGGAACACCAGUGGCGAAGGCGACUUGCUGGGCUAUUACUGACGUUCAUGGACGAAAGCGUGGGGAGCAAAUAGG
rnacentral:rRNA from 1 species